GCUUGUAGCUCAGCAGGUUAGAGCGCACGCCUGAUAAGCGUGAGGUCGGAGGUUCAAGUCCUCCCAGGCC
rnacentral:tRNA from 1 species